GUGGGGAAUCUUGCGCAAUGGGCGAAAGCCUGACGCAGCCAUGCCGCGUGAAUGAUGAAGGUCUUAGGAUUGUAAAAUUCUUUCACCGGGGACGAUAAUGACGGUACCCGGAGAAGAAGCCCCGGCUAACUUCGUGCCAGCAGUCGCGGUAAUACGAAGGGGGCUAGCGUUGCUCGGAAUUACUGGGCGUAAAGGGCGCGUAGGCGGACAGUUUAGUCAGAGGUGAAAGCCCAGGGCUCAACCUUGGAAUUGCCUUUGAUACUGGCUGUCUUGAGUACGGGAGAGGUGAGUGGAACUCCGAGUGUAGAGGUGAAAUUCGUAGAUAUUCGGAAGAACACCAGUGGCGAAGGCGACUCACUGGCCCGUUACUGACGCUGAGGCGCGAAAGCGUGGGGAGCAAACAGGAUUAGAUACCCCAGUAGUCC
rnacentral:rRNA from 1 species